GAGCCGUUCUCAGGUAUCGCGGCAAUGGAAUGAACCUCUCUGUUCUGGUCUCUCCGCUUUCCUUCCAAGUGUGAGCAGUUGAUAGGUGCGACGACUCCCAGAAUUCAACCCAAUACAGGCAACGCUAAUAGGCGUCAGGAAGCAAACCGCCAUCGUCACGAUUUAAAGGAGCGUGGGCGGAGUUAAUAUGCCAAGCCUCCAAACAAAGGCGCUGGUGGUAACGCUGAUUAGUGGAGAUAAUUUUAGAAUUAUCCCACCCAAUUGUAUGGAAUGACACGGGGCAUCUAAAGAUGAGGAGCAGUAAGAACCUUGAAACAAGGAAAAUCCCUGAAGUAAGGACCAUGAAUGGACCUGUAACUGGCACCUUAUCAACCUUGAAAGGUUGAGCUUCACCAAGAAUGUUCAAGUUCUUUGUUGACAACUGAGUAAAAAGACAAUAAAUGCAAGCAACAUACUGAAACACAACUGAAUUACUCUUCAAUAACUUUAUUGUGAACUUUAUAAACUAAUCACAAACUUCCUAUCAAGUUUCAAAAAGUGAUGGUGCUGAAAUCUGCUUGUAUUUAACCCUUUAACCCCUAAGAGAAACUAACUUCUAAUUUCUCCUUACAACAUCAUCCCUAAAUUAAAUUUAAAAGGUCAUGAGAAUAAAGGAGAGGAACAAAUUCUCCUCGUCAAAACCCCAGGAAAUGUCUAGAGAUUAGUAUGGAGAAUAUGGAUACUGAUAAUAAUGUUUAUUUAAUAACAAUACUGGCAAUAAUCGGAGAUUUGGGAGAUGCAUUCGACCAACAGGCAAGGGAGUGGGGUAUGGUUUUUGAUUUUAGGAUGUUUAAAAAUGUCUAAUUCCUUUUUUCAGAGUCAUUUUACUUGGCUUGUGAAAUAGUUACU